rnacentral:rRNA from 1 species
AUUGAACGCUGGCGGCAUGCCUUACACAUGCAAGUCGAACGGCAGCACGGGAGCUUGCUCCUGGUGGCGAGUGGCGAACGGGUGAGUAAUACAUCGGAACGUACCCAGGAGUGGGGGAUAACGUAGCGAAAGUUACGCUAAUACCGCAUAUUCUGUGAGCAGGAAAGCGGGGGAUCGCAAGACCUCGCGCUCUUGGAGCGGCCGAUGUCGGAUUAGCUAGUUGGUGAGGUAAAAGCUCACCAGGGCGACGAUCCGUAGCAGGUCUGAGAGGAUGAGCUGCCACACUGGGACCGAGACACGGCCCAGACUCCUACGGGAGGCAGCAGUGGGGAAUUUUGGACAAGGGGGGCAACCCUGAUCCAGCCAUGCCGCGUGAGUGAAGAAGGCCUUCGGGUUGUAAAGCUCUUUCGGCGGGGAAGAAAUGGCAACGGCUACUAUCCGUUGUUGAUGACGGUACCCGCAUAAGAAGCACCGGCUAACUACGUGCCAGCCGCCGCCGUAA